UCGAGUGGCGAACGGGUGAGUAACACGUGGGUGAUCUGCCCUGCACUUCGGGAUAAGCCUGGGAAACUGGGUCUAAUACCGGAUAGGAGCCAUUUUUAGUGUGAUGGUUUGAAAGUUUUUUCGGUGUAGGAUGAGCUCGCGGCCUAUCAGCUUGUUGGUGGGGUAAUGGCCUACCAAGGCGGCGACGGGUAGCCGGCCUGAGAGGGUGGACGGCCACAUUGGGACUGAGAUACGGCCCAG
rnacentral:rRNA from 1 species